GUAAACCCAGUUCACUCAGGCAGAAGCAAGAGGAAGAACAUUCCUCCAGCUCCUCCUCAUGCAGGCCCGAGAGGUGGGAGGGCAUUCUGCCAGCCCAGUAUAUCCACUUUGCUUCGACAAAUGUCAGCCUGCCCAGAAUAAGGAAGUACCCACAGCCGGGAAAGGUAAAUCCAAACCCUGAAAAGACAGAUACUGAGCAUUUGAAAUAACACAGCUUGCAGCGUCCUUGCGGAGCCCUGUUUAUGGGGCAAUAAACCAUUUAAACGACUGUGUGUUGGAACCCACAAGGUCGCCUUGAAAGGCUUUUCACAGACACUGCUAGUAGGGCUCCAGGACGUCUGGAGGGCCAGGAUGGGGUGUCUUUUUGGCUUCUGCUUGAAGCUGCUGGUUCCCCUCCAUCAGGAACGCCAGCCCCUGGAGAGGCUGCCAUGAGAAAGCCAGUUUCCACGUAAAGAAAUCUAAGCAACUUGCUAGGGAGGCCACAUGGAGACAGUGAAACCCCAGAGGAUGAGAAACCACUUGAAAAAGAGCGAAGGCACCCAGUGGACAGCCAGCACCCGCCGCCGGAUGUGAAUGAGGCUGUCUUGCAUUCCUAAGAUGCUGCAGCUGACAUGAGGUGAAGCAAAGAUGAGUGUCCCAGCUGAGCCUGGCCAAGCUCCUGACUCACGGAAUCCUGAAAAAUAAAUGGUUGUCAUUUUAUGUUGUUA